CGAGCGGAAGGCCCUUCGGGGUACUCGAGCGGCGAACGGGUGAGUAACACGUGAGUAACCUGCCCCUGACUCUGGGAUAAGCCUGGGAAACCGGGUCUAAUACCGGAUAUGACACAUGGCCGCAUGGUCUGUGUGUGGAAAGUUUUUUCGGUUGGGGAUGGGCUCGCGGCCUAUCAGCUUGUUGGUGGGGUGAUGGCCUACCAAGGCGACGACGGGUAGCCGGCCUGAGAGGGCGACCGGCCACACUGGGACUGAGACACGGCCCAGACUCCUACGGGAGGCAGCAGUGGGGAAUAUUGCGCAAUGGGCGGAAGCCUGACGCAGCGACGCCGCGUGGGGGAUGACGGCCUUCGGGUUGUAAACCUCUUUCAGCAGGGACGAAGUUGACGUGUACCUGUAGAAGAAGCGCCGGCUAACUACGUGCCAGCAGCCGCGGUAAUACGUAGGGCGCGAGCGUUGUCCGGAAUUAUUGGGCGUAAAGAGCUCGUAGGUGGCUUGUCGCGUCUGCCGUGAAAGCUCGUGGCUUAACUACGGGUCUGCGGUGGAUACGGGCAGGCUGGAGGCUGGUAGGGGCAAGUGGAAUUCCUGGUGUAGCGGUGAAAUGCGCAGAUAUCAGGAGGAACACCGGUGGCGAAGGCGGCUUGCUGGGCCAGUUCUGACGCUGAGGAGCG
rnacentral:rRNA from 1 species